rnacentral:rRNA from 1 species
UACCAGCACCCCGAGUGGUCGGGACGAUUAUUGGGCCUAAAGCAUCCGUAGCCGGUCCUACAAGUCUUCCGUUAAAUCCACCUGCUUAACAGAUGGGCUGCGGAAGAUACUAUAGGGCUAGGAGGCGGGAGAGGCAAGCGGUACUCAGUGGGUAGGGGUAAAAUCCUUUGAUCCAUUGAAGACCACCAGUGGCGAAGGCGGCUUGCCAGAACGCGCUCGACGGUGAGGGAUGAAAGCUGGGGGAGCAAACCGG